rnacentral:rRNA from 1 species
CGCCAGACUCCUACGGGAGGCAGCAGUGGGGAAUAUUGCACAAUGGGGGAAACCCUGAUGCAGCAACGCCGCGUGAGUGAAGAAGUAUUUCGGUAUGUAAAGCUCUAUCAGCAGGGAAGAGAAUGACGGUACCUGACUAAGAAGCCCCGGCUGACUACGUGCCAGCAGCCGCGGUAAUACGUAGGGGGCGAGCGUUAUCCGGAUUUACUGGGUGUAAAGGGAGCGUAGACGGUUCUGCAAGUCUGAAGUGAAAGCCCGUGGCUUAACCGCGGAACGGCUUUGGAAACUGUGGAACUGGAGUGCUGGAGAGGCAAGCGGAAUUCCUAGUGUAGCGGUGAAAUGCGUAGAUAUUAGGAGGAACACCAGUGGCGAAGGCGGCCUGCUGGGCUUUUACUGACGCUGAGGCUCGAAAGUGUGGGGAGCAAACAGGAUUAGAUACCCCUGUA